rnacentral:rRNA from 1 species
UUUUUGGUUAAGUUACUAAGGGCAUAUGGUGGAUGCCUUGGCACGAGAAGUCGAUGAAGGACGUGGUAAGCUGCGAUAAGCUCCGGGGAGAUGCAAACGAUCUAAGAUCCGGAGAUUUCCGAAUGGGAUAACCCAUCCCGCCCGAGCGGGAUACCUCCUGCUGAACACAUAGGCAGGAAGGAGACAACAGAGGGAAUUGAAACAUCUCAGUACCUCUAGGAAAAGAAAGCCAAUGCGAUUCCCGAAGUAGCGGCGAGCGAAACGGGAACAGUCUAAAUCUACUGCAUGUCAAGCCUGCGUGCGUUGUGCAGUAGAGGUUGCGGGAAGGAACUGGAUAGAGAUGCAGCUCUGUCGGGAAGUCAAAAAACAUUAUCUUAGUCGAACCGAUCUGGAAAGCCGGCCAAAGAAGGUGAUAGCCCUGUAGGCGAAAAGAUAAUGUCUUCCUCGGUUCUUCUCCCAAGUACUGCGGGACACGUGAAAUCCCGUGGGAAUCCGGGUGGACCAUCAUCCAAGACUAAAUACUCUCUCGUGACCGAUAGUGAACCAGUACCGUGAGGGAAAGGUGAAAAGCACCCCUGGCGGGGAGUGAAAUAGUACCUGAAACCGUAUGCCUACAAGCAGUGGGAGUCCCGCUUCGGCGGGAUGACCGCGUGCCUUUUGCAUAAUGAGCUGGCGAGUUACUCUAUGCAGCAAGGUUAAUCUGUUUAGCAGAGCAGCCGAAGCGAAAGCAAGUCCAAAUAGGGCGAUUGAGUUGCAUAGAGUAGACGCGAAACCAGGUGAUCUACCCAUGGCCAGAGUGAAGCGACCGUAACAGGUCGUGGAGGCUCGAACGCACGGAAGUUGAAAAUUCUGGCGAUGAGCUGUGGGUAGGGGUGAAAGGCUAAUCAAACUUGGUAAUAGCUCGUUCUCCUCGAAAUAGCUUUAGGGCUAGCCUCAUAGGAGAGUGACGGAGGUAGAGCACUGGAUGGACUAGGGCUCUCACAAGGGUACCAAACCCAACCAAACUACGAAUGCCGUACACUUGCUCUAUGGGAGUCAGGCGAGGGGGGAUAAGCUUCUUCGCCAAAAGGGAAACAACCCAGAUCAUCAGCUAAGGUCCCUAAGUGUAGACUGAGUGAGAAAGGAUGUGAAAUCGCUUAGACAACCAGGAUGUUGGCUUAGAAGCAGCCAUCAUUUAAAGAGUGCGUAAUAGCUCACUGGUCAAGCGCUUUUGCGCCGAUAAUAAUCGGGACUAAGUCUACCACCGAAGCUGUGGGCUCAAUCGUAAGAUUGAGCGGUAGAGGAGCGUUCCACUAACCUGCGAAGGUACACCGUCAGGUGUGCUGGAGGACGUGGAAAUGAUUAUGCCAGCAUAAGUAGCGAUAAUCCCGGCGAGAACCCGGGACACCGAAAAUCUAAGGUUUCCUGAGUAAAGUCAAUCUGCUCAGGGUUAGUCGGUCCCUAAGCCGAGGCCGAAUGGCGUAGGUGAUGGAAAACAGGUGAAUAUUCCUGUACCGUCUUGAGAUCGUCUGAACGAUGGGGUAACGCAGAAGGGAACGUCAGCCAGGCGUUGGAUGUCCUGGUCUAAGCUGGUAGGAGGAUCGGGUAGGUAAAUCCGCUCGAUCACGACUCCGAGAAGCGAAUGGGAAAUGCGGCUUUUGCCAAACCAACUGACAUGUACCAUGCUGCCAAGAAAAACCUCUAAGUGAGAUCGAUAGGCGACCGUACCGCAAACCGACACAGGUAGAUGAGGAGAAAAUCCUAAGGUGCUCGAGCGAGCUCUGGUUAAGGAACUAGGCAAACUAACCCCGUAACUUCGGAAGAAGGGGUGUCCUGCUUGGUCAGGUCCCUCGCGGACCAAAGCUAAGCGGGAUCGCAGAGAAAUGGCCUGGGCGACUGUUUACUAAAAACACAGGUCUGUGCGAAGUCGUCAAGACGACGUAUACGGACUGACACCUGCCCGGUGCUGGAAGGUUAAGAGGAGAGGUUAUCCCGAGCAAUCGGGAGAAGCUUUGAAUCGAAGCCCCAGUAAACGGCGGCCGUAACUAUAACGGUCCUAAGGUAGCGAAAUUCCUUGUCGGGUAAGUUCCGACCUGCACGAAUGGUGUAACGUGUCUCAACCAGAGGCUCGGCGAAAUUGUAGUACCGGUGAAGAUGCCGGUUUCCCACAACGGGACGGAAAGACCCCAUGAACCUUUACUAUAGCUUAGCACUGUGUUUCGGUAUUGCAUGUGUAGGAUAGGUGGGAGACGUCGAUCCGGCGGCGCUAGCCGUCGGGGAGUCAACCUUGAAAUACCACCCUUGUUAUAUUGAGACACUAACCUGGCACCCUGAUCGGGUGUAGGGACCCUGCUAGGUGGGUAGUUUGACUGGGGCGGUCGCCUCCCAAACUGUAACGGAGGCGCCCAAAGGUUCCCUCAGCAUGGUCGGCAAUCAUGCGUAGAGUGCAAGCGCAUAAGGGAGCUUAACUGUGAGACUAACAGGUCGAACAGGUGCGAAAGCAGGGGCUAGUGAUCCGGCGGUAGUGUAUGGAAAUGCCGUCGCUCAACGGAUAAAAGGUACUCUGGGGAUAACAGGCUUAUCGGGCCCAAGAGUUCACAUCGACGGCCCGGUUUGGCACCUCGAUGUCGGCUCAUCGCAUCCUGGGGCUGGAGAAGGUCCCAAGGGUUUGGCUGUUCGCCAAUUAAAGCGGUACGUGAGCUGGGUUUAGAACGUCGUGAGACAGUUCGGUCCCUAUCUGUUGUGGGCGUAGGAAAUUUGAGGGAUGCUGCUCGUAGUACGAGAGGACCCGAGUGGACGGACCUCCAGUAUACCAGUUGUCAUGCCAAUGGCAUAGCUGGGUAGCUGUGUCCGGAUGGGAUAAGCGCUGAAGGCAUCUAAGCGCGAAACCCUUCCCAAGAUGAGAUUUCCCUGGCCGUAAGGCCACUAAAGGCUCCUCGCAGAUGACGAGGUCGAUAGGUCACAGGUGCAAGAAUGGCAACAUUUUUAGCCGAGUGAUACUAAUCAGCCGUGCGGCUUAACCAAUUUUU